UCAGAGUCAGCCCAAUCCACUAGUACAAUUCUACCUCCCAGAGAGAGUACAGUACACACAGAACCAAAUAGAAAUAGCCAGAUCAAUCAUCGAUCCAAAGAGGAUCUCAAAUCUGGACGCCUACUCUUCUUCCUCCCAAAACCGGCCACAACAACAUAUGCUACAGAUUACUCAAACAAAUAGCACCCAAGUUACUGUAGCACAACAGAUUCACAAAAAUCUAUCAAGAAAUAACUAAUCUCCAGUUUAUACGACCCAAAGAAGAAAGGGAGAAAAAUUUCUCCCAAAAACGAAGAGAGAG
rnacentral:lncRNA from 1 species